UCAUAGUUGAAUCUUCAUAAAUACAUUUCACAACCUCCCUUAUCUUCACUUCAUUUCGAUAUGCACCUGCACUUUACCAAUGACUCACAAUCUACCACACACACACACGCACACUUUGGUCACCAAGCUUAACCUCGCAGCCGAUCAUGGAGUUCACUAUGGAGCUUCAUAAUGAAGCAGUUCAUGUUGGAGUAAGGGUCCACGAGGCACAGAACCACCACACCAUGGUGCAGGUGCCGAUGGUUCUACUAUGAAUGAACAAAUUUGCCUUUAACUUUGCUGUGGUGUUCUCGCCAUCACCACAACAAUCACCACCAAGCAGCAGAAUGCCAUCACCCCCUUCUCUAGUCCGCCGUUACGACUGCCAUCACCAUAACAGAGCAUUGCCAUUGCCAUCACCACCGCAUUCACCAAGACUAGUAUAAUACUAGUUUGGUUAUUAUGAUUAUGUGUAAUUCUUAACUUAGUAAUUAUGGUCAAAUAUGUGUCACUAGGUUUGAAUGGUUCUUUUGGUAUUAACUUAACUUAUUGAUAUGUAUAAUUAUUGAAUGGUUCUUAUGGUAUUAGCUUGAUAUGUAUAUUAUUGAA